UUGAAAGGGAAACGAUUGAAGUCAGUCGUACCGUCGGGAAAUCAACUUUUUGAGCGCUUGUCGUGGGUGACUUUGAGCUUCGCGGCCUUCGUUGCUUUGCGUUAUGGUGCUUUUGGGGUGUACUUUUCCGUAUGGUAGGUCAAUAUCGAUUUUGAUCGUCAUAAAAUGAUCGGAGGAAUGUGGCUUCGAUCUCGUAUCGGAGUGUUAUAGCCUUUGGUAGAUGUGACGAUUGGGAUCGAGGAUUGCAACGAAUACCCUUUGGGCUAUCCGUCUGACCUCUGAAAGUCGCUCGGGUGUCGAAAGCGUGCUUAUGACAUUCUAGUUGGCGGUCAAAAGGUUAGAACGCGAUUACAUUCGUUAAGGAUGUUGACGUA
rnacentral:rRNA from 1 species